AUACGGAGGGUGCAAGCGUUAUUCGGAAUUAUUGGGCGUAAAGGGCGCGUAGGCGGUUGGAAAAGUCAGAUGUGAAAGCCCCGGGCUUAACCUGGGAAGUGCAUUUGAUACUAUUUGACUUGAGUAUGGGAGAGGGUAGUGGAAUUCCUGGUGUAGAGGUGAAAUUCGUAGAUAUCAGGAGGAACACCUGUGGCGAAGGCGGCUACCUGGACCAAUACUGACGCUGAGGCGCGAAGGCGUGGGGAGC
rnacentral:rRNA from 1 species